UGUUUAAGCAAAAACAUGUCUUUAUGAAGAUUUAUAAAGUCUAACCUGCCCAUUGGGAACUAAAAGGCCGCGGUAUUAUGACCGUGCAAAGGUAGCAUAAUCAUUAGUUUUUUAAUUGAAGGCUAGAAUGAAUGGUUGGACAAGGAGUAAUCUGUCUUAAAUUAAUAUAUUGAAUUUAACUUUUGAGUGAAAAGGCUUAAAUGAUCUGAAGGGACGAUAAGACCCUAUAAAACUUUAUAUUUAUAAUUUAGUAGUUAAUUUUAUUUGAGAUUAUUAUUUUAGAGUAUUUGGUUGGGGUGACAAGGAUAAAAUAUAAAAUAACUGUUCUUUUUUUUUUACAGUAAUGUUUGGGUUAAUGAUCCUAAAAGGGAUAAAAGAUUAAGUUACUUUAGGGAUAACAGCGUAAUUUUCUUUAAGAGUUCUUAUCGACAAGAAAGUUUGCGACCUCGAUGUUGAAUUAAAAGUUCUUUAUAGAGUAGAGACUAUAAUAGAAGGUCUGUUCGACC
rnacentral:rRNA from 1 species